rnacentral:rRNA from 1 species
UACGUAGGUGGCGAGCGUUGUCCGGAUUUACUGGGCGUAAAGGAUGCGUAGGCGGAUAUUUAAAGUGAGAUGUGAAAUACCCGAGCUUAACUUGGGUGCUGCAUUUCAAACUGGAUAUCUAGAGUGUGGGAGAGGAGAAUGGAAUUCCUAGUGUAGCGGUGAAAUGCGUAGAGAUUAGGAAGAACACCAGUGGCGAAGGCGAUUCUCUGGACCAUAACUGACGCUGAGGCAUGAAAGCGUGGGUAGCAAACAGG